rnacentral:rRNA from 1 species
AUUGAACGCUGGCGGCAGGCCUAACACAUGCAAGUCGAGCGGAUGAAGGGAGCUUGCUCCUGGAUUCAGCGGCGGACGGGUGAGUAAUGCCUAGGAAUCUGCCUGGUAGUGGGGGAUAACGUCCGGAAACGGGCGCUAAUACCGCAUACGUCCUGAGGGAGAAAGUGGGGGAUCUUCGGACCUCACGCUAUCUGAUGAGCCUAGGUCGGAUUAGCUAGUUGGUGGGGUAAAGGCCUACCAAGGCGACGAUCCGUAACUGGUCUGAGAGGAUGAUCAGUCACACUGGAACUGAGACACGGCCCAGACUCCUACGGGAGGCAGCAGUGGGGAAUAUUGGACAAUGGGCGAAAGCCUGAUCCAGCCAUGCCGCGUGUGUGAAGAAGGUCUUCGGAUUGUAAAGCACUUUAAGUUGGGAGGAAGGGCAGUAAGUUAAUACCUUGCUGUUUUGACGUUACCAACAGAAUAAGCACCGGCUAACUUCGUG